AGCUAAACUCCAUCUCAGGAAAAAAAAAAAAAAAUUCAGAUGAUGCAGCCUGGGCAGCAUGGUGAGACUCCAUCUCUACUAAAAAUACAAAAAAAUUAGCCAGGCAUGGAGGUACUUACCUGUAGUCCCAGCUGCUCAGCAGGCUGAGGCGGGAGGAUUGCUUGAGCCAGGGAGGUCAAGGCUGCAGUGAGCUAUGAUCGUGCCACUGCACUCCAGCCUGAGUGACAGAGGAACACCUUGUCUCAAACCAAACCAAACAAAACAAACCCAAAAAACAACCAUCAGAUGAAGAUAUUUUAGAGAAGAGAUUAAGGCUCAGAGAGGUUAAGUGCUUUGUGCAAUGUCACACAGCAUGUGAAUGACAAGGCUGGGCCUCUUGGGUCUGCUGACCCUAGGACUUAGCUUGAGCUAUGUGUGCUGUUUUCAGGAGAAGCUAUGGCCGUAUACAGGGCACAGGGAUGGGGAGGGGGGCUGUACCCAGUGUUCCCCCCACCCCCGAGCAGACAGAGAAAUCCAUCU
rnacentral:lncRNA from 1 species